rnacentral:sRNA from 1 species
UCGGAGAAGAAUCCCGUCGCUAGGAGGUCCAACGAACCCAAACGUCUCAUCAAGAGCCACAACCACCGCAGAAAGGAGAAACCCACCACGCACCACCAACUAGAGACGAUGGGCAAUCGAAAUCUGAAACAAAACGAUGGAGCACGAGAGGAGGAGAAACAUCAAAGACAACAAAGAGGGAGGAGGAGGAGCCCUCCCCGUUCGCCGGCAAGGAGUGCCGCAAACGGAGAGGCGGAGGAGGCAGAUCGCCGACAUUAUGAUUUAAACUUAAUUUGUAACAAGAAAUUACUCUAAAAUGAUAUCGGCAUAGAUAUUGUAUUAGAC